rnacentral:rRNA from 1 species
AUUGAACGCUGGCGGCAGGCUUAACACAUGCAAGUCGAACGAGUGGCGGACGGGUGAGUAAUGCUUGGGACUCUAGCUUAUGGAGGGGGACAACUACGGGAAACUGUAGCUAAUACCGUGUACCAUAGGAUGAGCCCACGAGGUAUGAGGUAGUUGGUGAGGUAAAGGCCCACCAAGCCGACGCUCUCUAGCUGGUCUGAGAGGAUGACCAUACCCAGUGGGACUGAGUCGCGGACAAAGCUCCGACGUAGUGCAGCAGUGGGGAAUAUUGCGCUAUGGGGGCAACCUGACGCAGCCAUGCCGCGUGUAUGAAGAAGGCCUUCUGGUUGUAAAGUUCGUUCGGUUGCGAGGCUUUAGCUACCGAAGCAGCACCGGCUGACUCCUUGCCAGCAGCCGCGGUAAUAC